UCUAAUGGAUAAGCAAAGAAAGUGGUUUCUUGAGAUGGAAUCUACUUCCAGUGAAGAUGUGAA
rnacentral:pre_miRNA from 1 species